ensembl:lncRNA
CCCGCACACAAUCUACAAACCAUAGUUGGACGUCUGCAGGGGCCGCAUCACCACAAGACAAAAGGAGAAAAUAUGCAGCUACAGAGAGUUUAAGACGUCUAUCACGGGACAAUUUUGCCACACCGGUGCAACAAUGGAACACUGUGAUGGUGAGUAGCGUAUUUUAUUGUUAAUUACAUGUAUUAGUAAAAUAAGCAUCAUCAUUAUUCUUAAAAGUAUAUAUUCAUUAAGGUUUCUCAACGAUAUGACAGCCCAAAUGGGAUUAACCACCCAGAGCACCAAUGAGAUCUUUUAGAUAUCGGCUGCAACCGGAAUCCUAAAGCUUGCGGAAAGCUAACUACAAGCUACAAAGCUAACUACAGACUUAGAUAAGAAACCUUCAAGAAAUAGAAAAGAAAAUCAAGGCGUUGAGUGGCUCACCACUGCCCUCAACAAGCAAGGCAUCUUGACAAGGUAAUGAAGUGAUUGGUGUGAUAUAAAAAGUAAAGAACAAAAAUGUUAUUAUAACUGUGAAAUAUUUUCGAAAACGGCCUAUGGAUUCCUCCCAAUAAAGAGGGUGGGGUUAAACACUCAAAUUGAGGGUAUAUUUUUAGAUUUGCGUUUAUGUACAUGUGUUUAAACAGCUUUCUUUUAUUAUUGCACCGACGGGAUGUGGCGGCUUGGUCUAAACCAAAUGAAGAGACUGAACUUUUUAUUCCAAGAUACGUCGACACGAUAAGCGAUGAGGAGUUAUUCCGCUGUGCUGAGCUCGAAGAGGAUGUGAGAACAGGAGGCCGCAGGAGCAAGCAGGAACAAGAUCACGAGGAAAGCAGGAACCGGAUUUUGCGAACAUCAUCACUCAAACAAACCAACGGCAGACGAGGG